rnacentral:rRNA from 1 species
GACGAACGCUGGCGGCGUGCUUAACACAUGCAAGUCGAACGCUGAAGCUCAGCUUGCUGGGUGGUUGAGUGGCGAACGGGUGAGUAACACGUGAGUAACCUGCCCUCUUCUUUGGGAUAACGCCCGGAAACGGGUGCUAAUACUGGAUAUUCACUGAUUCUCGCAUGGGGGUUGUUGGAAAGGUUUUUUCUGGUGGGGGAUGGGCUCGCGGCCUAUCAGCUUGUUGGUGGGGUGAUGGCCUACCAAGGCUUUGACGGGUAGCCGGCCUGAGAGGGUGACCGGUCACAUUGGGACUGGGAUACGGCCCAGACUCCUACGGGAGGCAGCAGUGGGGAAUAUUGCACAAUGGGCGAAAGCCUGAUGCAGCGACGCCGCGUGAGGGAUGGAGGCCUUCGGGUUGUAAACCUCUUUCGCUCAUGGUCAAGCCGCAGCUUGGGGUUGUGGUGAGGGUAGUGGGUAAAGAAGCGCCGGCUAACUACGUG